rnacentral:lncRNA from 10 species
CUUUUCACUGCAGGUCCGUGGGUCAGCUGGGGUGUCUCCGCUCCUCGUGUCUCUUAUCCUCCUUGGACCUAGCCAGGAAUGCUCUCAUGGGAAUGGCAGAGGCAAAGAUGGUUGGGAGAAGAACAAUCACCAAAAAUGCAGAGUGGGGAGCGGGCCUGAGUGUUGGACCUCUCCUUAAACAAACCUUCCUGCAGCCUCCAGGUCACCAUCCUUGUCACCUCUACUGCCAGAGACAUCGAGUGCCUUGAAGUCCUGGGCUUUCCGGGGAUUCUGUGGGCUUCCAGGACUGUGCUGCCGUGCUUCCUCUCCUUUAAAGCAAGUCUUCUAUCAUCACCAGCGAGGGGCCAUGGAAGGAGCAGACUAGACUGCUCAAUCUGCUGUCUCCACCUGGCGGACCUACCAUGUGAUUCACUUACAGACAGUUGGUUUGUUUUUGUUUUUUGUUUCUCUUUUUGACACUGAGUUUCGCUCUUGUUGCCCAAGCCGGAGUGCAGUGGCUCGAUCUCGGCUCACCACAACCUCUACCUCCCGGGUUCAAGUGAUUCUCCUGCCUCAGCCACCCGAGUAGGUGGGAUUACAGGAACCCACCACCACACCUGGCUGAUUUUCUACUUUUAGUAAAGAUGGGGUUUCUCUAUGUUGAUCAGGCUGGUCUGAAACUACCGACUUCAGGACCGCCUGCCUCGGCCUUCCAAAGUGCGGGGAUUACUGGCAUGAGCCACUGCCCCUGGUCAAGAAUUGGUUUUUAAUGCUUCCUUCCUCCAUACAACAGAAUUCUUUUCAAUAAUGAUCAUUAAACAAAAGGAAUAAUAAUAAUGUCCAGAAAAGAACUGCUGUAGAUAGUGAAAAUUUUUUUAUUGAACUUUGUAUAUGUAAUCAUGCUGGCACAUAUGUUAAAAAAAGGUAAAAAGUCAUGGAUUAAUUUUUUUAAUCAUAAUUUUUAAAGGGGAUUAUUUUACUGCAGUUCACACACUGUUUCAUUGUUUUACAUUUUAAACAGAAAUAGCUGGGCGGAUCACCUGAGGCCAGGAGUUUGAGACUAGCCUGGCCAACAUGGUGAAACCCCGUCUCUAUGAAAAAUACAAAAAUUAGCCAGGCGUGGUGGCACAUAUCUGUAGUCCCAGCUACUUGGGAGGCUGAGGAGAAGAAUCGCUUGAACCGGGGAGGCAGAGGUUGCAAUGAGCUGAGAUCGCACCACUGCACUCCAGCCUGGGUGACAGAGUGAGACUCCAGCUCAAAUAAAUAAAUAAAUAAAUAAAAAUUUUAAACAGAAAUAAAAACUUCAAGUUACCUAUAAAAGAAUAACAGAACUGAAGUAAUUCAAGUUCUGUUUCUUCCCCUGCAGAAUCACUGUUAGCAUUGUUUAUUUUGAAUCUACUGCUUAAAAGCAGGAACGUGUUGUGUGCAGACCAUUGACAGGUUGGAAAUAGGAGUUCAGAGAGUGCUUACGUGAUUCCACACUUACAAGGAAUGUAUGUAGCUGAAUCUGCCAGCACUGGGGGCCAACCUUGUAACUGGGAGUUCUCUGAAUUAACUUCCAUUAGCAUGCAUUCUUGAUUAAAAGGUAAGUAAUAAACAUGCGCUAACUCAAAGUGUGCACAUACACACUGAAAAUGUAGCAUGUUUUAUUACAUAUUGAUUUUAUAUAUUUUCUUAAGUAUACAUUUAUUCUAUAUAUAAAUGUGAAAUACAUACAUAAUGUGAGUAUAUAUGUGUGUGUAUGUUUACAUAUAUAUAUAUAAAAUGUCUCCAUUG